GGUGAGUAACACGUGGGUGAUCUGCCCUGCACUUUGGGAUAAGCCUGGGAAACUGGGUCUAAUACCGAAUACACCUCGCUGGCCGCAUGGUCUGGUGGGGGAAAGCUUUUGCGGUGUGGGAUGGGCCCGCGGCCUAUCAGCUUGUUGGUGGGGUGAUGGCCUACCAAGGCGACGACGGGUAGCCGGCCUGAGAGGGUGACCGGCCACACUGGGACUGAGAUACGGCCCAGACUCCUACGGGAGGCAGCAGUGGGGAAUAUUGCACAAUGGGCGCAAGCCUGAUGCAGCGACGCCGCGUGGGGGAUGACGGCCUUCGGGUUGUAAACCCCUUUCAGCACAGACGAAGCGCGAGUGACGGUAUGUGCAGAAGAAGGACCGGCCAACUACGUGCCAGCAGCCGCGGUAAUACGUAGGGUCCGAGCGUUGUCCGGAAUUACUGGGCGUAAAGAGCUCGUAGGUGGUUUGUCGCGUUGUUCGUGAAAACUCACAGCUCAACUGUGGGCGUGCGGGCGAUACGGGCAGACUAGAGUACUGCAGGGGAGACUGGAAUUCCUGGUGUAGCGGUGGAAUGCGCAGAUAUCAGGAGGAACACCGGUGGCGAAGGCGGGUCUCUGGGCAGUAACUGACGCUGAGGAGCGAAAGCGUGGGGAGCGAACAGGAUUAGAUACCCUGGUAGUC
rnacentral:rRNA from 1 species